UUUGAAANCCCCNGGNUAAUACCGUAUAUCUCUAAGGAUCGCAUGAUNCUUAGAUGAAAGAUGGUUCUGCUAUCGCUUUUAGAUGGACCCGCGGCGNAUUAACUAGUUGGUGGGGUAACGGCCUACCAAGGNGAUGAUACGUAGCCGAACUGAGAGGUUGAUCGGCCACAUUGGGACUGAGACACGGCCCAAACUCCUACGGGAGGCAGCAGUAGGGAAUCUUCCACAAUGGACGCAAGUCUGAUGGAGCAACGCCGCGUGAGUGAAGAAGGUCUUCGGAUCGUAAAACUCUGUUGUUAGAGAAGAACACGAGUGAGAGUAACUGUUCAUUCGAUGACGGUAUCUAACCAGCAAGUCAGGCAACUACG
rnacentral:rRNA from 1 species